rnacentral:rRNA from 1 species
UUGGAGGGCAAGUCUGGUGCCAGCAGCCGCGGUAAUUCCAGCUCCAAUAGCGUAUAUUAAAGUUGUUGCAGUUAAAAAGCUCGUAGUUGAAUUUUGGAUUUGGCUGGUUGGUCGGCCGUAAGGUCUGUACUCUUCUGGCUAAAUCUUUCCUUCUGGAGGACUAUCAUGCCAUUUAUUUGGUGUGGUAGCGAUCCAGGAUUUUUACCUUGAAAAAAUUAGAGUGUUUAAAGCAGGC